rnacentral:rRNA from 1 species
AUGUGUGUACCAAAACAACAAGGAGGUGUGGGUUUUAGAGAUAUCCAUUGUUUCAAUCUUGCUCUUUUGGCUAAACAGGCUCGGAGGCUUACUGAGAACCCAGACUCCAUGUGUGAACGUACUUUGACAGUGAAGUAUUUUCCGGAUGGUGAUCUAUUUGUCGGUGUCUAA